rnacentral:lncRNA from 1 species
GGAAGGAGAGAGCAGCUAGCCCCAGUGCAAUCAGGGUAAAGUAUUACCCAGUAAUCCAUGUUGUCACAGAGCAGGUCCUUCCUGACUCCCUUCUCCCAGAACUGGCCCACUAAGAGAGUCCCCUCCCCUGGGCCCCCGGUGGGUGGAAGGCAGAUGGGGAGGGGCUCAGGGCUGUUGCAACUUGGAGCACCCAGAGCAGAGUGCAGCCAGGUAAAGCCUCUUCCUGUCCUCAGGCUCCUUGUCCCACCUCACCCCAUAUAAGGCCAAGUCCAGGUGACUGCCUUCUCCUCUCUUGUAAAUACAUGCAUUUGUACAGUGGGCCCUGUUCUUGUGAAGUCCAUCUCCAUGGUCAUUAGACCUGACACUCCAAAUCGCAUGUGACUCCCCCAUGCUCUUGGUCUCCCAGGCCCCUGCUAUAGCCAGAGAUCAAUAAAGAAGGGAGACUGGCUGGA